rnacentral:rRNA from 1 species
UACGGAGGAUGCAAGCGUUAUCCGGAAUUAUUGGGCGUAAAGCGUCCGUAGGUGGCCGUUCAAGUCUGCCGUUAAAGCCAGUGGCUUAACCACUGACAGGCGGUGGAAACUGAAUAGCUAGAGUGUGGUAGGGGUAGAGGGAAAUUCCAGUGGAGCGGUGAAAUGCGUAGAUAUUGGAAAGACCACCGAUGGCGAAGGCACUCUACUGGGCCAUUACUGACACUGAGAGACGAAAGCUAGGGGAGCAAAUGGG